rnacentral:tRNA from 2 species
GCGCUCGUAGCUCAGUCGGAUAGAGCGAUUGCCUCCUAAGCAGUAGGCCGCAGGUUCGAUUCCUGCCGGGCGCACCA